rnacentral:lncRNA from 1 species
GAUAGACUUGUUAGUAUAUGAAAAGUACAACAGCCAGGAGGGAGCUAGCUACUUCUUAGAUGAUGGUGACGAUAGUCGAUAGAUCCCAUGCUAUUAAUUAAUUUUUACCAGGACCGUCUGCUCCAGGACUGUUCUUCUUUUUCUUCUUUUUGGUUUUUUUGCCUCCUUCACCAUUACAGUCGAUUUCAUCAUUAACGUCUGAAACUGGAGGAGAUGGUGCGGAGCUAACAUCACUCACCUGCAGAUUUCCGGUGGCAGAUUUUUCGACAAUAUCCGGACGAGCUCCAAAAGAAGCAGUAAUGAG